GGAUAAACGCUGGCGGCGUGCCUAAUACAUGUAAGUCGAACGAGGGAUUUUUGUAGCAAUACGAAAGUUUCCUAGUGGCGAAUGGGUGAGUAACGCGUUGGUGACCCGCCCCUAAGUGAGGGAUAACAGUUCGAAAGGACUGCUAAUACCACAUGUGGUCAGCGGGUUUAGAAACCGCUGACUAAAGAAGCAAUUCGCUUGGGGAGGGACCUGCGUCCCAUCAGCUAGUUGGUAAGGUAAUGGCCUACCAAGGCUACGACGGGUAGGGGGCCUGAGAGGGUGGCCCCCCACAUUGGCACUGACACACGGGCCAAACACCUACGGGUGGCAGCAGUAGGGAAUAUUGCACAAUGGGCGAAAGCCUGAUGCAGCAACGCCGCGUGCGCGAUGAAGGCCUUCGGGUCGUAAAGCGCUUUUUGGGGAGAUGAGAAAGGACAGUAUCCCCAGAAUAAGGAUCGGCUAACUACGUGCCAGCAGCCGCGGUAACACGUAGGAUCCGAGCGUUAUCCGAAUUUACUGGGCGUAAAGCGCGUGCAGGCGGUUUGGUAAGUUGGACAUGAAAGCUCCUGGCUCAACUAGGAGAGGCUGUUCAAAACUACCAGACUAGAGGACGGUAGAGGGAGGUGGAAUUCCAGGUGUAGUGGUGAAAUGCGUAGAUAUCUGGAGGAACACCAGUGGCGAAAGCGACCUCCUGGACCGUACCUGACGCUCAGACGCGAAAGCUAGGGGAGCGAACGGGAUUAGAUACCCCGGUAGUCCUAGCUGUAAACGAUGCAAACUUGGUGUUGGUGGGGUAAAAUCCGCCGGUGCCGAAGCUAACGCGAUAAGUUUGCCGCCUGGGGACUACGGCCGCAAGGUUAAAACUCAAAGGAAUUGACGG
rnacentral:rRNA from 1 species